AAAAAUGAAGUUUGUACCUGAGGCCUAAAUACACUCUUUUCUUUCCUUUUCUUUUCUUUUCUCUUCUCUUCUCUUCUCUUCUCUUCUCUUCUCUUCUCUUCUCUUCUCUUCUCUUCUCUUCUUUCUCUUCUUCUUCUUUCUCUUCUCUUCUUUCCCCACUCAGCCAUUUAAAUGCUUUUUCCGGAAAAGUCUGUGAAGUCUUCUACAGUGAGGGCUUGCUUAUGCCCAGAGAGCAAUAUAUCAAACUCUUGCUGACACCUUAUGGAAGUGACAUAUUUAGGGAUUGUCAUUCUUCAAGGCACUGUGCUCUGGAGGCUUUUGAAGGAAAAGAAGGAAACCAGCUUCUAAUGAGAAGAGUGAAGCUCUGAAAGACAUGCCCAACGCCCCCCAGCAAACAGAACUGAAUCCUGAACUGCUUCUGCAUCCAGCACACUGCUUCCAGUUACCAACAUCUAAGGGGACAGCCCUGCAUUACCUUCCCUCUAUUAUCCACACUCCUACACGCAUGUGGGCCUUCUCUUCUUCUGCUAACAAUCAACACAUCUCAACUGCUUUUCUUUAUUGUCUCUGGGUCUUCUCAGCAGGUCCCAUUCAUACCAAACAGCUACUGUAUCUAUAUUCAUGUUACUCUCACCGCAUGAUUACCAAAUGGGAAAACAUCUGUAACAUUAUGGGUUUCCUUCCUCUUUUAAUUAUGGGUUUAGCAAUCAGUGGAACUUUAAUAUUUAAUAGCUAAGCCAAACACUUAAUGGUUACAAAGUGCUGUUACACAUUUGAUGUAAAAUCAGAGUGAAAGUGAACUCUAAACCAAUCAACUCUGUGCACCUGACACAUGGGCAGGCCAGGGGCGGGAAGAAAGAAUGCAUUUAAACCCAUUACCGAUGACCUGCAUAACCAACCCAUACCUCUGCUCUGGUCCCUGCUUUACUUUUUGUUCGUGAAUUAUACAGGCAAUUUAAAUCAUGAAGAAAAGCAAGGCCUUCCAUUGUCAAUACCC